AGGGAAUCUUUGGGGAGGCAAGGGCAGAGCCUUAGUGGGGUUAGUAGAGAGGGGGUGGCCGACAUUUCCCCAAUUUACAUGAAGGCCGUCGGCAGCCAUGGUGCAAUGGGAGAUCCGAGGGCUUGGGGAGGGGCUGUGGAUUAUGGGGGAACUGGGGCACGCUCUGAAUAGCGUCGGGGAGAGCUUGGGAACACUCUGGGCGACAUGGGCAUCACGCCAUGGAAGAGGAAGACAACAGAGUCACGGACGCGCUCUGUUCGUCGACGUGGACGGCGUGUAGAGGAAGAAUCUAGAGGUGGAAUGGGGUCCAAAGCGAAGGCGAGGCCAAGACCCUAAUCCUAGAGAUGGCUAGGUAUCGAGGGCUCUAAGAAAUAUAUGAAGGGGACGGGUCCAACCUUCCAGAGUGCGGACACGACCGAUUCAAGUGUCUGCUGCCGCGGGUCGAGGCGCUCGUCUGGAGGAGGCCGUCAGGAUGUCUGAUGCCCGCGAGAAGAGCCUCCAUGCCCGCCUCCUCUAGGUGAUAUCCAUUCGCUCAACCACCAUCCAACGCUCAGCUCUUCUCUCCUCCGCUCCUCCCUCCAUUGCCGAACCGCAGACGAUUUCUUGCUCUCUGCGGAGAUAGAACGAUACGUAGGUAGGCGAGAUAAACACCUUACCCCGAACCGAACCGCAGCCGUAUCCAAUCCACUCCAAUCUGAAUCGCAUCGCCAUCCUCUCCUCUCCUCUUCUUAUUAACCCCAAUCGCAUCGCCAUCUAAUCCACUCCAAUCCAGUCAAUCCGUUGCCGCCGCUUCACCUAGCAAACAAG
rnacentral:lncRNA from 1 species